UGGCCUUGUAUAUGUUUCAGAACCAGGAUAUAUGCUUUUUAGAGCUGGAGUUCCUCGGCAUGCCAUUAUUAAAAAGUUUGGAGGUACAAAACCUUCUUCAACAGAUGGCAUCCAGACCAGUGAAGAUUACAGAUUCUAUGCUAUAUCAACUAGGUUCAGUGAAUUGAGUAUCAAGGACAAGACAUUAAAUUAAAUCAAAACUCAGGGGGUUUGUCUUAAUGUUUUUCCUGUUAUUUUUUGGCGAAUGUUAAAACAUAAUUUGUGGAUAUGUUAUUUUGUAGUUAAUGGUAAUUGUAUAUUAAAUUGAAUGGGAAAGUGAAUUAAUGUUGUAUUUGCUACUUGGCAGCUUUUCAUAUAAUUGGUUUAUCUUUUGACAAAUGUUCAUUUGAAUGGAAACGAGAA